GUUCGAUGUCGUCAGAUUGAACGCUGGCGGGGAUGCUUUACACCGCAAGUCGAACGGCAGCACGGACUUCGGUCUGGUGGCGAGUGGCGAACGGGUGAGUAAUGUAUCGGAACGUGCCCUGGUAGCGGGGAUAGCUACGCGAAAGCGUAGCUAAUACUGCGCCGCCGUAAGGAAAGCGGGGACCUUCCGGGCCUCACGCUAUUAGAGCGGCCGAUAUCGGAUUGGCUAGUUGGUGGGGUAACGGCUCACCAAGGCGACGAUCCGUAGCUGGUUUGAGAGGACGACCAACCACACUGGGACUGAGACACGGCUGACUCACGGGAGGCGGCAGUGGGGAAUUUACGAGACAGUAAGGAAACCCUGAUCCAGCCAUCCCGCGUGUGGUCGGCCUUCGGGUUAUAAACGCUUUUGGCAAGAAAGAAACAGCACGGGAUAAUACCCCGUGCAACUGACAGUACCUGCAGAAUAAGCACCGGCUAACUGCAUUGCCAGCAACCGCCGGUAAUACGUAGGAGUGCAAGCGUUAAUCGGAAUUACUGGGCGUAAAGCGUGCGCAAGGCGGUUCAGAAGAAGAUAACAAAUCAGAGCUUAACUUUGGAACUGCAUUUUUUUAACUACCGAGCUAUAAGUGUGUCGGGAGGUGGAAUUCCGUGUAGCAGUGAAAUGCGUAGAUAUGCGGAGGAACACCGAUGGCGAAGGCAGCCUCCUGGGAUAACACUGAAGCGCUCAUGCUGUAGCGAUGGGGAGCAAACAAGUUGAGUACCUGGUAGUCCACGCCCUAAACGAUAUCAACUAGCUGUUGAGACUGGGCGUAGUGGCGCAGCUAACGCGUGGCGAAGGAUGACCACCCGGGAAUGCAGUCGCAAGAUUAAAACUCAAGGUGACGGGGACCCGCACAAGCAUUUGGAUGAUGUGGAUUAAUUCGAUGCAACGCGAAAAAAACCCCUACCCUUGACAUGUGUGGAAUCCCGAAGAGAUUUGGGGAGUGCUCGCAAGAGAACCGGAACACAGGUGCUGCAUGGCUGUCGUCAGCUCGUGUCGUGAGAUGUUGGGUUAAGUCCCGCAACGAGCGCAACCCUUGUCAUUAGUUGCUACGAAAGGGCACUCAAUGGGAGCCGCGGUGACAAACCGGGAGGAAGGUAGAGGGAUGACGUCAGAUCCUCAUGGCCCUUAUGGGUAGGGCUUCACGUCAUACAAUGGUCAGGACAGAGGGUCACCAACCCGCGAGGGCCGUCUGAAACCCGAUCGUAGUCCCGGAUCGCAGUCUGCAACUCGACUGCGUGAAGUCGGAAUCGCUAGCAGCCGUCGCGGAUCAGCAUGUCGCGGUGAAUACGUUCCCGGGUCUUGUACACACCGCCAAUCUGCACACCAUGGGGUGGGUUUACCGAAGUAGUUAGCCUAACCGUAAGGAGGGCGGUCACCACGGUAGGAUUCACUGACUGGGGUGAAGUCGUAACAAGGUAA
rnacentral:rRNA from 1 species